rnacentral:rRNA from 1 species
UACGUAGGUGGCGAGCGUUGUCCGGAUUUACUGGGUGUAAAGGGCGUGUAGGCGGCUCUGCAAGUCAGAUGUGAAAUUUCCGGGCUUAACCCGGACGGGUCAUCUGAAACUGCAGGACUUGAGUACUGGAGAGGAUAGCGGAAUUCCUAGUGUAGCGGUAAAAUGCGUAGAUAUUAGGAGGAACACCGGUGGCGAAGGCGGCUAUCUGGACAGUAACUGACGCUGAGGCGCGAAAGCGUGGGGAGCAAACAGGAUUAGAUACCCGGGUAGUCCCU